rnacentral:tRNA from 1 species
GGGUCUGUGGCGUAACUUGGACAGCGCGCCUGGCUUCGGACCAGGCGGUUGCGGGUUCAAAGUAGAUUUGGGCACCAGCCCUGUCUAUGGAAAUCCCGCCAGACCCG